rnacentral:lncRNA from 1 species
AUAGCCUGAUAGUAUCCCUUUGUAAAAUAAAUGAACCUAACAGGGGACAGCUUCAUAAGAACACUUCUGCAUCAAUUACCGUUGCAGUUCUUUGCUACCCUUUCUUAUCCUCGACAAUAUUAAAAUCAUGCCGAACUUAUGUGCAUUCUUAGCUAUAGCUGCAGCAUUUUUGUACGGUUACCUUCAACAGCCAUGUUCUGAAGCAAAUGGAGAAGGCAGAAUGCACCACCAGUUAGCGUGUUCCUAUCUUUCAUCUUUAACGGCAAUAUUCUCGGUGUACAAAAGACAAUCAGUACAAGAGGAUGCUCAAAGUAGAAAUAAAGAGCGUUUUUAUCACAUACAAAUAUGAUCAAUAGGAUGGCCGUGGAGCACCGGGAGGGAGCCAGAACCAAACCUACUGAAGGAAGCAUACUUGCAGGUUGCAGCAGUCGAGUUAAAGAUCGCCGCUACGGACGCAUUUCUGACGAACUGAUGAAGAUCGAUAUGGUGGACGGACACGCUCCGUGGAGGAGUUCAGGCGACGUCGUCGACGCUGACCACCGCCUCGGUGCCGAGCUGGGUUUCACGUGGUCGUUCAUCAUCGGGGUUUUCGCGGCGGCACUCACGGCGCCGUGGGCUGCCUGAAAGUGAACGUUAACUCGAGAGAUGCAUAGGGAGGCGGUCUAAGACUGGCAAAGACAACAAUAGAGUAGCGCAUAAAUUAGCAAAAUAUUCACAGGUAAACGGUGCGGACGUGACCUGGCAAAACCCACCACCGCUUGGCAAUUUUGGUGAAACUCUACUGUAAUGGUGCAAGUCUUUAUGAAUGAUAUGCUAUCUCUUCCCUCAAAACAGAAAAUGAACACGAUUGAAACAAGAAUGGGAAGCCAACACUUUGUGGGAAGUAGAAGAGAAUUCACACCUCACACUCACGCUAGUGUGUGGUGACUGGAGACUAGAAACACAAUUUAGAAACCCUUUUCAUCACGCUAGAAUUAAUCCAAACAUAGAUGCUACCAUUUUAAGGAACCAGAGGGGGAGGAAGGGAACACUUCAACAGAAAUAAUCCAUGGCAAAAUAGCACUCCUCGAUCUCUGCAUACAGAUCGAACAAUAAAGUUUGGCAAAGGCAAAAGUGAAGAAGGUUGAACAACAAGAAAACAAAGGAGGAUUGUUACAAAAACCCUGGUAUAACCACGAACUCACCUCAGCCAAAGCCAUACACAGAAUGGUUGUAGCCUCAACGAUAUCCAAAGUUUUUAUAUAAUAACACAAAUUUUGGUAUCAAUGGACCAAGGACUACAAACUCUACUAAGCAGAUGUAAGCAGAAGCAUCAAGCAUGUAUCACCUAACAAACCAGGAAUACAGGAUAACCAAAAUUGAGGGUUUUUUUUUUCAAUCCCAUAACGCAAACAUCGAUAAUUGUAAAAUAAUUAAUUGUAGUAUUGUCCUAUACCUUAAAAUGUUACACAGAUAUAAGAGUGUCCAAAUACACUUGCAACUGAUCAGUAAACUAUGGCAGUUCUUUUCAAACCUGGAAAGUUCUGAGAGCAAAAAUAUUUCAAGGUUUUGCGAACAACUACUAAAAUAUGCUCAUACACAUUUGAUCUAGUUUUUGAUAAGCUUUUUCCAGAAUAAAUAUCACAAAUAUUUCUUGAUAGUACUCUCUUUGCAAAACAAAUGACCCUAACAAGGGACAGCUUCAUAGGAGCACUUCUGCGUCAAUUACCGUUGCAGUUGCUUGCUAGCCUUUCUUAUCCUUGACAAUAUUAAAAUCAUGCCGAACUUUUGUGCAUUCUUAGCUAUAGCUGCAGCAUUUUUCUACGUUUACCUUCAACAGCCAUGCUCUGAAGCAAAUGGAGGAGGCAGAAAUGUACCACUAGUUAGCGUGUUCCUGUUGUUCAUCUUAAACGGCAAAUAUUCUCGGUGUACAAAAGACAAUUAGUACAAAGGAUGCUCAAAGUAGAAAUAAAGAGCGUACUACUAUCACAUAAAUACGAUCAAUAUGAUGGCGGCGGAGCACCGGGAGGGAGCCAGAGCCAAACCUACUGAAGGAAGCAUAGUUGCAGCAGUCCAGUUAAAGAUCGCCGCUGGGGACGCAUUCCUGACGAACUGAUGAAGAUCGAGAGGAUGGCCGCGCACGCUCCGUGGGGGAGUUCAGGUGACGUCGUCGACGCCGACCACCGCCUCGGUGCCCAGCUGGGCUUCACGGGGUCGUUCGUCAUCGGGGUUUUCGCGGCGGCAGUCACGGCCGCCGUGGCGGCGUGCAUCUGGCGGCGCUGCAUUCGUAAGCCAUUGCCUCCGCAGCAGCAGCAGCAAGACCAGCAGCACCACCACCACCACCAGCAAGAUCCGCCGCCGCCGCCGCAGGAGCACUUGCUGCAGUGGCUGCAGCAACUCGGCGGCGGCGGCGGCCACCGCUCUUCGGCGGCCGAAGACGGAUCCUUCGCCAGCGAUGUCCAGCAGCAAG